AAACACAAAAAAAGGCUUUAUUGCUAGACACGGGAUCUUCAUACUACUGAUAUUUAACAGGUGAUGUAGCUAGAUUGAAGCUCUUCAGAGAAACACUCCAUUCUGCGGUCUGGCUGGAGGCUUUUCACAGACUAGUCUUUGCUGCUUUGUCUUUCACAGAGGAACAUCCGUUGAUAAUUUCAGCUCUCCAGUUUCUCAAUAAUUACAGCUUUUGGAAGAAGUUUGAAGGUAAUAGGGGAAAGGGAAAAAAACCCAAACCCCAAACCCAGAGCACUUCAUCUAUUUGUCUUCCCAAAGAGACUGGGAAAUAGUGUAACUUCC
rnacentral:lncRNA from 1 species